ensembl:ncRNA T21F2.2 ncRNA
GAAAGAUAGGAGAAGAGGUUAUUUCCGGAUGUGUCGAAAAUAGAAGCCUGGAAAACCUGACGAUGUUGUUUGUCGGUGUUUAUCGAUGAGAAGAGGGGUACAUCAUGAUGAAAGGAGAGAGAAAAAAGAAAAA